rnacentral:rRNA from 1 species
UGUAAAGGGAGCGCAGGCGGGAGAACAAGUUGGAAGUGAAAUCCAUGGGCUCAACCCAUGAACUGCUUUCAAAACUGUUUUUCUUGAGUAGUGCAGAGGUAGGCGGAAUUCCCGGUGUAGCGGUGGAAUGCGUAGAUAUCGGGAGGAACACCAGUGGCGAAGGCGGCCUACUGGGCACCAACUGACGCUGAGGCUCGAAAGUGUGGGUAGCAAACAGGAUUAGAUACCCUGGUAGUCCACACCGUAAACGAUGAUUACUAGGUGUUGGAGGAUUGACCCCUUCAGUGCCGCAGUUAACACAAUAAGUAAUCCACCUGGGGAGUACGACCGCAAGGUUGAAACUCAAAGGAAUUGACGGGGGCCCGCACAAGCAGUGGAGUAUGUGGUUUAAUUCGACGCAACGCGAAGAACCUUACCAAGUCUUGACAUCCCUUGACGAUGCUGGAAACAGCAUUUCUCUUCGGAGCAAGGAGACAGGUGGUGCAUGGUUGUCGUCAGCUCGUGUCGUGAGAUGUUGGGUUAAGUCCCGCAACGAGCGCAACCCUUAUGGUCAGUUACUACGCAAGAGGACUCUGGCCAGACUGCCGUUGACAAAACGGAGGAAGGUGGGGAUGACGUCAAAUCAUCAUGCCCUUUAUGACUUGGGCUACACACGUACUACAAUGGCGUUAAACAAAGAGAAGCAAGACCGCGAGGUGGAGCAAAACUCAGAAACAACGUCCCAGUUCGGACUGCAGGCUGCAACUCGCCUGCACGAAGUCGGAAUUGCUAGUAAUCGUGGAUCAGCAUGCCACGGUGAAUACGUUCCCGGGCCUUGUACACACCGCCCGUCACACCAUGAGAGCCGGGGGGACCCGAAGUCGGUAGUCUAACCGUAAGGAGGACGCCGCCGAAGGUAAAACUGGUGAUUGGGGUGAAGUCGUAACAAGGUAGCCGUAGGAGAACCUGCGGCUG